GACUUGGCACUGCACCAAUUGCCAGGAAUUAUUCGUCCUGUUUCAUGAUCCUCAAUAUCUGCUGUAACUGUUGUAUCAUUUCUCACUUUUCUUAUCCAGUUGUGCAAAACACAUGCAGCUUUUAUUAAUUUUACUACUGUGUGAGGAGCAAGUGAUAUUGGCGAUCUGAAUACACGAAAACGGGCUGAAAUGAUUCUAAAUGCAUUUUCUACUAUACGUCUCGCUCUACAGUGUCUAUAAUUAAAUACUUUCUGGACAAACAGUUAAUCGAUUUCGUCUGGGAUAGGGUUUCAUUAAAUAUGGCUUGAGUGGAAAUGCUUCAUCUCCUAAGAUAACAGAUCCGUAAGGUUGGUUUAAUAAAUUUUCCUCAAUAGCAUUUUGAAGAGACGACUUGGCAAAUAUUCCACCAUCUGAACUGCUGCCAUAACUACCAAUAUCAAUAUAGUUAAAAUAUUGAGAACCGGAAUUCGGAGGGCACUGAACCAAUACAUGCUUUCCGUCGAUUGCUUCAAUACAAUUAGGAAAAUUCCAGCGAGUUUCAAAUCCAUUUAUCACUUUAUUCCAUUCAUUUUUACUUUGAGGAACCUAAAAAAUAAUAACACGUUUAUUGAAACAACUCUAAAUUAUUAAAAUAUUAUUUUAUCUUUGUUUUUAUUGCAGAUGUUUUCAAAAGAAAAUGAUAAAAAUGCAGAGUCUGCAACAUCAUAUGAAAAAUCGACGCAAGAACCUAAGGAGCUUCAAGAAACCCCUUCUAGAAGUUCGAUGAGAACGACACAGGCAAGUUUUAAACGAGCUCACAUCAGAUGAAUUGGCGCAAGAGCCUACGGAAAAUGAAGAAACCUCUUCUGUCAGUUCAGAAAAAAGAAUAAAGAUAAAUCGCAAAAGGUCCGACCGUAAAGGAAUGAAGAAUGAUGAUGAAUCUUUAAAUGAGGCGUAAAGUUUUGAAAGAAGUGUCAUCCCAAAAACUGUCUGUUCCUUCCAAUGAAUUUGAUGUAUUUGGAAAACAUGUUUCUUCUCAACUACAGCUUCUUCCAUAUCCAGAAAUUAAUAACCACUACUCGACUACGUCAUUUCCAAGAACAAAAUUUAAAUAACACUGCAUCUGACAAUGAAACAAAUGUCACCUUUAUUAGCGAAACAGAUCAACACAAUACAGAACCGUCAACUUCUUUAAAGGAAAAGAUAUAUUAUAGCUUGCAGAACGUUCAGAAACCAGAGCCACGCCUCGUAAAUUAUUUUUGGAAUUGAGCGGGAGAUGAUAAUGAUGAUUUGGGCUGUUAAUAAUAAUAUAGAUACUUAGUUAAAUUUUCUUAGAAUAUUCUGUUGCUUUCAUUAAAUGUCUUAACUUUUUUAUAUUUUGUAUAAUUAAAGACAUUCAAAAUUA